rnacentral:rRNA from 1 species
UACGAAGGGUGCAAGCGUUACUCGGAAUUACUGGGCGUAAAGCGUGCGUAGGUGGUUCGUUAAGUCUGUCGUGAAAGCCCCGGGCUCAACCUGGGAAUGGCGAUGGAUACUGGCGAGCUAGAGUGCGGUAGAGGAGAGUGGAAUUCCCGGUGUAGCAGUGAAAUGCGUAGAGAUCGGGAGGAACAUCAGUUGCGAAGGCGGCUCUCUGGACCAGCACUGACACUGAGGCACGAAAAGCUAGGGGAGCAAACAGG